GCCGCUUCGCAAACCCUAGUGCAGAGACUACAGACUGCAGACCUUGAGAAGCCGCGACGCCGCGCAGCCCUCUCCGCCUCUCCGAGUCUCCGACGAGAGAGGAGUCGCAGCCCAGCACUCCCCCAGGUGCCCUCUCUCCACUCUCCAGUCUCCAGUCUCCAUGCAGCCGGCAGCCCGCUCGCCUCACUGCCUUGCGCCGACUCGGAGUCGCCGGUCAGCCUCGCGCCUCAGCCCUCUCAAAUCAGAUUCUCAGUAUUAAAUGCCCAACGAGACACGGACACUGGAAGACUCCCUUGCCAACGACGACGACCCUUGUCUCCGGUCUCCACCCUUGCCAACGAUGAAUGGACGAAGCUGCUACCCACGAGACCGAGUGAGUUCGUUAAGUAAGCAAAAAGAUUGGCAAUUUUG